AUUGAACGCUGGCGGCAGGCCUAACACAUGCAAGUCGAACGAGUGGCGGACGGGUGAGUAAUGUCUGGGAAACUGCCCGAUGGAGGGGGAUAACUACUGGAAAAGGUAGCUAAUACCGCAUACCAUCGGAUGUGCCCAGAUGGGAUUAGCUAGUAGGUGGGGUAACGGCUCAACUAUGAGACGAACCCUAGCUGGUCUGAGAGGAUGACCAGCCACACUGGAACUGAGAAACGGACCAGAAUCCUACGGGAGGCAGCAGUGGGGAAUAUUGCACAAUGGGCGCAAGCCUGAUGCAGCGAUGCCGCGUGUAUGAAGAAGGCCUUCGGGUUGUAAAGUACUUUCAGCGAGGAGGCGGGAAGCGAAGAAGAAGCACCGGCUAACUCCGUGCCAGCCGCCGCGGUAAUAG
rnacentral:rRNA from 1 species